AUUGAACGCUGGCGGCAGGCCUAACACAUGCAAGUCGAACGGGUGGCGGACGGGUGAGUAAUGUAUGGGAAUCUGCCUGAUGGAGGGGGAUAACUACUGGAAACGGUAGCUAAUACCGCCUACCAUCCCAUGGGCCCAUAUGGGAUUAGCUUGUUGGUGGGGUAAAGGCUUACCAAGGCGACGAUCCCUAGCUGGUCUGAGAGGAUGACCAGCCACACUGGAACUGAGACACGGUCCAGACUCCUACGGGAGGCAGCAGGGGGGAAUAUUGCACAAUGGGCGCAAGCCUGAUGCAGCCAUGCCGCGUGUAUGAAGAAGGCCUUCGGGUUGUAAAGUACUUUCAGCGGGGAGGCGUUACCCGCAGAAGAAGCACCGGCUAACUCCGUGCCAGCAGCCGCGGUAAUAC
rnacentral:rRNA from 1 species